rnacentral:tRNA from 1 species
UCCCUGGUAGUAUAUCGGUUAGUACACGCGCCUGUCAUAAAUAUGCGUAAAGUAUGUCCGCGCGAAAGCUGGGUUCGACUCCCAGCCAGGGAG